rnacentral:rRNA from 1 species
AGAGUUUGAUCAUGGCUCAGAAUCAACGCUGGCGGCGNUAACACAUGCAAGUCGAACGAGAAAGUGGAGCAAUCCAUGAGUACAGUGGCGUACGGGUGAGUAACACGUGGGUAAUCUGCCUUUUAGUGAGGAAUAACGAUGGGAAACCGUCGCUAAUACCGCAUAAGCCCGAGAGGGGAAAGUCGCAAGACGCUGAAAGAGGAGCCCGCGGCCGAUUAGCUAGUUGGUAGGGUAAGAGCCUACCAAGGCAGAGAUCGGUAGCCGGCCUGAGAGGGCACACGGCCACACUGGCACUGAAACACGGGCCAGACUCCUACGGGAGGCAGCAGUGGGGAAUCUUGCACAAUGGGGGCAACCCUGAUGCAGCGACGCCGCGUGAGCGAUGAAGCCCUUCGGGGUGUAAAGCUCUUUCGGCAGGGAAGAUUAUGACGGUACCUGCAGAAGCAGCUGCGGCUAACUACGUGCCAGCAGCCGCGGUAAUACGUAGGCAGCGAGCGUUGUUCGGAGUUACUGGGCGUAAAGGGUGUGUAGGCGGUUCUUUAAGUUUGGUGUGAAAUCUCCCGGCUCAACCGGGAGGGUGCGCCGAAUACUGAGGGACUAGAGUGUGGGAGAGGAAAGUGGAAUUCCUGGUGUAGCGGUGAAAUGCGUAGAUAUCAGGAGGAACCCGGUGGUGUAGACGGCUUUCUGGACCAUAACUGACGCUGAGACACGAAAGCGUGGGUAGCAAACAGGAUUAGAUACCCUAGUAGUCC